GCCACUCAGGGCUGGACAGGGGUCAGGGAAAGGGCAUUCAUGUCAAGUGCCCCGGACCAAGAGGCCGGAGAAAACCUUCAGUUCCAGGUUGCCUAGGGCAAAGGUGGUGAUCUUUGGCAGCACAAAGUGCCCUGGGUUUGGGGCUGUCCUUUGGCCUCCAGUUUCAGUGCUAGCCUGGGAGUGUCCAGAGAGAUGAAGUAUGAGAUGACUUGUCCCUCCCACCACAGUGCCCAAGUGGGAGGAGGCACGCUGACCCAUGCAGCCACACACACAACCCACAGGCCUCAUCUCUGACUCUCCCAGGCAAGCAAAGGAGCAGACUGCAGCAGCCCUGAGAUGUGGCUGUUGCCUCGGAAGGAAUGUUGCCUUGGAAGGAAGAGGAAGGGAUCCCGGCGGAAGGAAGAGGAAGGGAUCCUGGCGGCAGAGCCCACAUGUGACACCAGUAACCCCCAACCCCUAAAUCAGCUACCUCCAUCCUGAUUGGUCAAUGCCUGAGCCAUGCUGGUACCGUGCCCAGCAGCUGGGAUGCAGCACUGAACACGAG
rnacentral:lncRNA from 10 species